rnacentral:ncRNA from 1 species
GUUUGGGGGUGCCAUACCAUCAUGUAUGGCUGAGAACAUACCCAUGGAAUCUGAUCCGGUUAAUGCCGGCGUAGAGAACUAAACUUAUUA